GAUGAACGCUGGCGGCGUGCCUAAUACAUGCAAGUCGAGCGAACAGACGAGGAGCUUGCUCCUCUGAUGUUAGCGGCGGACGGGUGAGUAACACGUGGAUAACCUACCUAUAAGACUGGGAUAACUUCGGGAAACCGGAGCUAAUACCGGAUAACAUGUUGAACCGCAUGGUUCAACAGUGAAAGACGGUCUUGCUGUCACUUAUAGAUGGAUCCGCGCCGCAUUAGCUAGUUGGUAAGGUAACGGCUUACCAAGGCAACGAUGCGUAGCCGACCUGAGAGGGUGAUCGGCCACACUGGAACUGAGACACGGUCCAGACUCCUACGGGAGGCAGCAGAAGGGAAUCUUCCGCAAUGGGCGAAAGCCUGACGGAGCAACGCCGCGUGAGUGAAGAAGGUCUUCGGAUCGUAAAACUCUGUUAUUAGGGAAGAACAAAUGUGUAAGUAACUAUGCACGUCUUGACGGUACCUAAUCAGAAAGCCACGGCUAACUACGUG
rnacentral:rRNA from 1 species